CCCUAGCCCGGAUGGAAGCGGCAUCCUUUAAAAAAAGCCCCUGUGUUAGGGGCUUUUUUUAAAGAUACAGCGGACAGCCGGAACAGCU
rnacentral:sRNA from 1 species